rnacentral:lncRNA from 1 species
AGGCCUUCCCACCACCUGAGGCUCGGCCAUAGCUCUGCCCGGUUUCCCAGCAGCUGCCAGUGAAUGCCCUCGGCCCGUGCUCAGCUCCGCCACCAUGGGGACUGCUCAGGUUUUACCUGGCAUUCUGCAGAAGCAUUGCUGUAUCUUACCGGACAGGAACACAGACGAUGAUACCCGCUUCCUCGGAUGCACCGCGGGACGGACCCUGGGACCGGCCGUAGGU